rnacentral:rRNA from 1 species
AUUGAACGCUGGCGGCAUGCCUUACACAUGCAAGUCGAACGGCAGCGCGGGGCAACCUGGCGGCGAGUAGCGAACGGGUGAGUAAUAUAUCGGAACGUGCCCUGGAGUGGGGAUAACGUAGCGAAGUUACGCUAAUACCGCAUACGAUCCAAGGAUGAAAGCAGGGGACCUUCGGGCCUUGUGCUCCUGGAGCGGCCGAUAUCUGAUUAGCUAGUUGGUGGGUAAAAGCCUACCAAGGCGACGAUCAGUAGCUGGUCUGAGAGGACGACCAGCCACACUGGAACUGAGACACGGUCCAGACUCCUACGGGAGGCAGCAGUGGGGAAUUUUGGACAAUGGGCGAAAGCCUGAUCCAGCAAUGCCGCGUGAGUGAUGAAGGCCUUAGGGUUGUAAAGCUCUUUUACCCGGGAUGAUAAUGACAGUACCGGGAGAAUAAGCCCCGGCUAACUCCGUGCCAGCAGCCGCGGUAA